rnacentral:rRNA from 1 species
AUACGGAGGAUCCAAGCGUUAUCCGGAAUCAUUGGGUUUAAAGGGUCCGUAGGCGGGUUUGUAAGUCAGUGGUGAAAGUUUUCGGCUCAACCGGAAAAUUGCCAUUGAUACUGCAAGUCUUGAAUCAUUAUGAAGUGGUUAGAAUGUGUAGUGUAGCGGUGAAAUGCAUAGAUAUUACACAGAAUACCGAUUGCGAAGGCAGAUCAGUAAUAAUGUAUUGACGCUAAGGGACGAAAGCGUGGGUAGCGAACAGGACUAGAUACCCUAGUAGUCC